rnacentral:rRNA from 1 species
UACGUAGGGGGCUAGCGUUGUCCGGAUUUAUUGGGCGUAAAGAGCGUGUAGGCGGCCAGGUAGGUCUGCUGUGAAAACUCGAGGCUCAACCUCGAGAUGUCGGCGGAAACCAUCUGGCUAGAGUCCGGAAGAGGAGAGUGGAAUUCCUGGUGUAGCGGUGAAAUGCGCAGAUAUCAGGAAGAACACCCGUGGCGAAGGCGGCUCUCUGGGACGGUACUGACGCUGAGACGCGAAAGCGUGGGGAGCAAACGGG